rnacentral:rRNA from 1 species
UGGGGAAUUUUGGACAAUGGGCGCAAGCCUGAUCCAGCCAUGCCGCGUGCGGGAAGAAGGCCUUCGGGUUGUAAACCGCUUUUGUCAGGGAAGAAAUCUUCUGAGUUAAUACCUCGGGAGGAUGACGGUACCUGAAGAAUAAGCACCGGCUAACUACGUGCCAGCAGCCGCGGUAAUACGUAGGGUGCAAGCGUUAAUCGGAAUUACUGGGCGUAAAGCGUGCGCAGGCGGUUUUGUAAGACAGAGGUGAAAUCCCCGGGCUCAACCUGGGAACUGCCUUUGUGACUGCAAGGCUUGAGUGCGGCAGAGGGGGAUGGAAUUCCGCGUGUAGCAGUGAAAUGCGUAGAUAUGCGGAGGAACACCGAUGGCGAAGGCAAUCCCCUGGGCCUGCACUGACGCUCAUGCACGAAAGCGUGGGGAGCAAAACAGGAUUAGAUACCCUGGUAGUCCACGCCCUAAAACGAUGUCAACUGGUUGUUGGGAAGGUUCCUUCUCAGUAACGUAGCUAACGCGUGAAGUUGACCGCCGGGGGAGUACGGCCGCAAGGGUUGAAAACUCAAAUGAAUUGACGGGGUCAUAGCUGUUUCC